rnacentral:lncRNA from 1 species
GGGUGAUUCUUUUGGACUAAUUCAUGUGGCUGCAAUUGGAGCUGGAUGAUCUAAAUGGUCUCACUCCUAGGUCUGGCUGUUGAUGUUGGCUGUUGGCUGAGCCAGGGGCCGCCAGCAGGCUAGCAUGGGCUCUUCACUCAGCAGCAGGGUUCCCCAAGAGGACAAGCCCAACACACAUGUGCUUUUCAAGCCUGUGAUUAUCAGGCUUGAAAUACUGCAACAUCUGCUGCAAUCAGUAACAACCACAUAAGAAAGCAAUGACAAGUUAUGAUUACUGCUCUGGAGGGAGUGAGCAGGAUGCUGUGAGAGAGGGUUACUAUUCCAAGUGGCACCUGGGCCAGCAGCAUUGGCAUCACCUGGGACUUGUGAGAAAUCCAGCAUCUCAGGCUCCACUGCAGGUCUCCUAAAUCAGAAUCUACAGUUUAACAAGAUCCCCAGCAGAUGUGUGUGUAAGGUUUAUAGAGAGAAGAUUCAAGCCUCAACAGGCCAGCUCAAGAACCUGUUGAGAGGAGCACCUAGCAUAAGACCUGGCUUGUGACAGCUGCUCGUGGCAUGCCCUUCUCCACUAAGCCAACUUGUUAAACCUCUUCACGGCUGAGAUCAUGCUGCUUUCUUCUUCAGAUCUGCCACCCUCUAGCUGGGUGACUUUUAGACAAGUGAUCGACCUCUCUGAGCCAGAGUUUCUACCUUGUAAAAAAAAAAAAAUCCCUUCCUGCAUGGUCAGCUGUCAUGAAAAGGACACAUGGUGAUGGGCAGACAAAGACAAGGCUUAGCUUCGUGUUUGACUCCUAGGAGCGCCCAGUUCAUGGAGGCUGCUGCUGUCACUAAUCUGUUUCCAUCUUCCCCUGGGAAUCCUGAGGUUUAUCUGUGAGCCUUUGGACUGCUGUAUGGACAACAUACUCUGCAGUAGCAUGAAGAAGUGAGUGAAGACCCUCCCUUGAACCGUUUGCCCUGAAAGAACAGAAGUCACAUCUUGAUAUCUCAGUGCCUUUACAGUGCCAGGGAUGGGGUAGGUGCUGAGCGCCUGGUAUGUGCUCACCCUAUGCUGUACAACACACAGAAAGCCCCACAGGGUUUGAACUGUAAUUAGGUAGAGGGUGUGUGGGACUCGCCUUGGGUCUCU